rnacentral:lncRNA from 1 species
GUGUUGUGAUGAAAUUCUUAGGACUUUAUUUAAUCGAUAAAAGAGAAUUUAUCGUUUAGUCUUUAAAACAUAUUCACAAUCAAAUGAUAUGCUAUUAAUAGGACAACAACGAUAUCGAGUAUAGAUCAUUGUGUACCAUAUGGAUUGAUUGUCCUUUUAAUCAAGGAGUGUAGGGACACUGGUAUGAUAUGUAGGUAAAAUAUAGGAGUAUAUUCACAUCGAACG